GCCCGGUUAGCUCAGCUGGUUAGAGCGUCGUACUAAUAACUGUUGAAAGACAAUUAUACAGUCAUGCGAAGGUCAACAGUUCAAUCCUGUUACUGGGCA